rnacentral:rRNA from 1 species
GAACGCGAAAGUCCCCUUCGGGGGGCGAGUAGAGUGGCGCACGGGUGAGUAACACGUAGGUAAUCUACCUUUGGAUUGGGAAUAACAACCGGAAACGGUUGCUAAUACCGAAUAAUGCAGCGGCACCUAAUGGUGACAGUUGUUAAAGCGGGGGAUCGAAAGACCUCGCGUCUGAAGAGGAGCCUGCGGCAGAUUAGCUAGUUGGUAAGGUAACGGCUUACCAAGGCGAUGAUCUGUAGCCGGCCUGAGAGGGCGGUCGGCCACACUGACACUGACAUACGGGUCAGACUCCUACGGGAGGCAGCAGUCGGGAAUUUUGGGCAAUGGGCGAAAGCCUGACCCAGCAACGCCGCGUGAAGGAUGAAAUCCCUCGGGAUGUAAACUUCGCAAGAACGGGAAGAAUAAGUAAGAGUUAAUAUCUCUUACGAUGACGGUACUGUUUGUAAGCUCCGGCUAACUCCGUGCCAGCAGCCGCGGUAAUACGGGGGGAGCAAGCGUUGUUCGGAUUUACUGGGCGUAAAGGGCGCGUAGGCGGCCAUCGCAAGUCGACUGUGAAAUCUCCGGGCUUAACCCGGAAAGGUCAGCCGAUACUGCGGGGCUAGAGUGCAGAAGGGGCAACUGGAAUUCUCGGUGUAGCGGUGAAAUGCGUAGAUAUCGAGAGGAACACCUGCGGCGAAGGCGGGUUGCUGGGCUGACACUGACGCUGAGGCGCGAAAGCUAGGGGAGCGAACGGGAUUAGAUACCCCGGUAGUCCUAGCCUUAAACGAUGAAUGCUUGGUGUCUGGGGUUUUAUAGUCCCCGGGUGCCGUCGCUAACGCUUUUAACAUUCCCCCUGGGGGGUACGG